rnacentral:rRNA from 1 species
GACGAACGCUGGCGGCGUGCUUAACACAUGCAAGUCGUACGGUAAGGCCCUUUCGGGGGUACACGAGUGGCGAACGGGUGAGUAACACGUGAGUAACCUGCCCACAACUUUGGGAUAACGCUAGGAAACUGGUGCUAAUACUGGAUAUGUUCUCCUGCUGCAUGGUGGGGGUUGGAAAGCUCCGGCGGUUGUGGAUGGACUCGCGGCCUAUCAGCUUGUUGGUGGGGUAGUGGCCUACCAAGGCGGCGACGGGUAGCCGGCCUGAGAGGGUGACCGGCCACAUUGGGACUGAGAUACGGCCCAGACACCGACGGGAGGCAGCAGGGGGGAAUAUUGCACAAUGGGCGCAAGCCUGAUGCAGCAACGCCGCGUGCGGGAUGACGGCCUUCGGGUUGUAAACCGCUUUCAGCAGGGACGAAGCUUUUUGUGACGGUACCUGCAGAAGAAGCACCGGCUAACUACGUG